rnacentral:rRNA from 1 species
GCCCUUAGAGUUUGAUCAUGGCUCAGGACGAACGCUGGCGGCGUGCCUAAUACAUGCAAGUCGUACGAGUGGCGAACGGGUGAGUAACACGUGGGUAACCUGCCCAAAAGAGGGGGAUAACACUUGGAAACAGGUGCUAAUACCGCAUAACAACAAAAACCGCCUGGUUUUUGUUAAAAGAUCACUUUUGGAUGGACCCGCGGCGUAUUAGCUAGUUGGUAAGGUAAUGGCUUACCAAGGCAGUGAUACGUAGCCGAACUGAGAGGUUGAUCGGCCACAUUGGGACUGAGACACGGCCCAAACUCCUACGGGAGGCAGCAGUAGGGAAUCUUCCACAAUGGACGCAAGUCUGAUGGAGCAACGCCGCGUGAGUGAAGAAGGUUUUCGGAUCGUAAAACUCUGUUGUUAGAGAAGAUGAGAGUAA